rnacentral:rRNA from 2 species
GGGUUGUGAGGUUAAGCGACUAAGCGUACACGGUGGAUGCCCUGGCAGUCAGAGGCGAUGAAGGACGUGCUAAUCUGCGAAAAGCGUCGGUAAGGUGAUAUGAACCGUUAUAACCGGCGAUGUCCGAAUGGGGAAACCCAGUGCAAUUCGUUGCACUAUCGUUAACUGAAUACAUAGGUUAACGAGGCGAACCGGGGGAACUGAAACAUCUAAGUACCCCGAGGAAAAGAAAUCAACCGAGAUUCCCCCAGUAGCGGCGAGCGAACGGGGAGCAGCCCAGAGUCUGAAUCAGCUUGUGUGUUAGUGGAACGGUCUGGAAAGUCCGACGGUACAGGGUGAUAGUCCCGUACACCAAAAUGCACAGGUUGUGAACUCGAAGAGUAGGGCGGGACACGUGGUAUCCUGUCUGAAUAUGGGGGGACCAUCCUCCAAGGCUAAAUACUCCUGACUGACCGAUAGUGAACCAGUACCGUGAGGGAAAGGCGAAAAGAACCCCGGCGAGGGGAGUGAAAAAGAACCUGAAACCGUGUACGUACAAGCAGUGGGAGCACCUUCGGGUGUGACUGCGUACCUUUUGUAUAAUGGGUCAGCGACUUAUAUUCUGUAGCAAGGUUAACCGUAUAGGGGAGCCGCAGGGAAACCGAGUCUUAACUGGGCGUUAAGUUGCAGGGUAUAGACCCGAAACCCGGUGAUCUAGCCAUGGGCAGGUUGAAGGUUGGGUAACACUAACUGGAGGACCGAACCGACUAAUGUUGAAAAAUUAGCGGAUGACUUGUGGCUGGGGGUGAAAGGCCAAUCAAACCGGGAGAUAGCUGGUUCUCCCCGAAAGCUAUUUAGGUAGCGCCUCGUGAACUCAUCUUCGGGGGUAGAGCACUGUUUCGGCUAGGGGGUCAUCCCGACUUACCAACCCGAUGCAAACUACGAAUACCGAAGAAUGUUAUCACGGGAGACACACGGCGGGUGCUAACGUCCGUCGUGAAGAGGGAAACAACCCAGACCGCCAGCUAAGGUCCCAAAGUCAUGGUUAAGUGGGAAACGAUGUGGGAAGGCACAGACAGCCAGGAUGUUGGCUUAGAAGCAGCCAUCAUUUAAAGAAAGCGUAAUAGCUCACUGGUCGAGUCGGCCUGCGCGGAAGAUGUAACGGGGCUAAACCAUGCACCGAAGCUGCGGCAGCGACACUAUGUGUUGUUGGGUAGGGGAGCGUUCUGUAAGCCUGCGAAGGUGACCUGUGAGGGUUGCUGGAGGUAUCAGAAGUGCGAAUGCUGACAUAAGUAACGAUAAAGCGGGUGAAAAGCCCGCUCGCCGGAAGACCAAGGGUUCCUGUCCAACGUUAAUCGGGGCAGGGUGAGUCGACCCCUAAGGCGAGGCCGAAAGGCGUAGUCGAUGGGAAACAGGUUAAUAUUCCUGUACUUGGUGUUACUGCGAAGGGGGGACGGAGAAGGCUAUGUUAGCCGGGCGACGGUUGUCCCGGUUUAAGCAUGUAGGCUGGUUGUCCAGGCAAAUCCGGAUAAUCAAGGCUGAGGUGUGAUGACGAGGCACUACGGUGCUGAAGUAACAAAUGCCCUGCUUCCAGGAAAAGCCUCUAAGCAUCAGGUAACAUCAAAUCGUACCCCAAACCGACACAGGUGGUCAGGUAGAGAAUACCAAGGCGCUUGAGAGAACUCGGGUGAAGGAACUAGGCAAAAUGGUGCCGUAACUUCGGGAGAAGGCACGCUGGUGUGUAGGUGAAGUCCCUGCGGAUGGAGCUGAGACCAGUCGAAGAUACCAGCUGGCUGCAACUGUUUAUUAAAAACACAGCACUGUGCAAACACGAAAGUGGACGUAUACGGUGUGACGCCUGCCCGGUGCCGGAAGGUUAAUUGAUGGGGUUAUCCGUAAGGAGAAGCUCUUGAUCGAAGCCCCGGUAAACGGCGGCCGUAACUAUAACGGUCCUAAGGUAGCGAAAUUCCUUGUCGGGUAAGUUCCGACCUGCACGAAUGGCGUAAUGAUGGCCAGGCUGUCUCCACCCGAGACUCAGUGAAAUUGAACUCGCUGUGAAGAUGCAGUGUACCCGCGGCAAGACGGAAAGACCCCGUGAACCUUUACUAUAGCUUGACACUGAACAUUGAGCCUUGAUGUGUAGGAUAGGUGGGAGGCUUUGAAGCGUGGACGCCAGUCUGCGUGGAGCCAACCUUGAAAUACCACCCUUUAAUGUUUGAUGUUCUAACGUUGGCCCCUUACCGGGGUUGCGGACAGUGUCUGGUGGGUAGUUUGACUGGGGCGGUCUCCUCCCAAAGCGUAACGGAGGAGCACGAAGGUUAGCUAAUCCUGGUCGGACAUCAGGAGGUUAGUGCAAUGGCAUAAGCUAGCUUGACUGCGAGCGUGACGGCGCGAGCAGGUGCGAAAGCAGGUCAUAGUGAUCCGGUGGUUCUGAAUGGAAGGGCCAUCGCUCAACGGAUAAAAGGUACUCCGGGGAUAACAGGCUGAUACCGCCCAAGAGUUCAUAUCGACGGCGGUGUUUGGCACCUCGAUGUCGGCUCAUCACAUCCUGGGGCUGAAGUAGGUCCCAAGGGUAUGGCUGUUCGCCAUUUAAAGUGGUACGCGAGCUGGGUUUAGAACGUCGUGAGACAGUUCGGUCCCUAUCUGCCGUGGGCGCUGGAGAAUUGAGGGGGGCUGCUCCUAGUACGAGAGGACCGGAGUGGACGCAUCACUGGUGUUCGGGUUGUCAUGCCAAUGGCACUGCCCGGUAGCUAAAUGCGGAAGAGAUAAGUGCUGAAAGCAUCUAAGCACGAAACUUGCCCCGAGAUGAGUUCUCCCUGAGACUUUAAGUCUCCUGAAGGAACGUUAAAGACGAUGACGUUGAUAGGCCGGGUGUGUAAGCGCAGCGAUGCGUUGAGCUAACCGGUACUAAUGAACCGUGAGGCUUAACCUUACAACGCCGAAG